rnacentral:lncRNA from 1 species
UCCUCUUUUCCAGUGCAGUUCUGCCCUCACCUUCUGACUGUCUUUAAUGAAUUGGUUCAGGACAGGGACUGUCUUUCUUAAUAAAUUGCUGUCAGGAAGUUGUGUACACAAAACAGUGUGAGCUGGGCCAGUUUGAUGGAGAGAAGGGGGGGGGGAGGGGAGGGGAGGGGAGAGAGAGGAGGCCAGAAACAAGAGAGAAGCAGAAUUCAGCCAAGCUGCAUUGGCCAGACACAAAAUCAAGGCAAUACCAGAGGGAGAGGACAGGUGCACGCAGCUGGGGGUACCCAGAAGCGAGACUGGCGCUCUUGAUGGCGUUUCAAGUUGCACUAAAAAGAAGAUGGAUAAAUAGAUAAGCAACUGCAGUGGAGUGUAAUUCCUGGGAACAAGAACAUAUUCACUUCAUAUUCUCUAAAGCUAAGCGGUCUGAUUGAUAGACUUGAGAGAGUCUUGCAGAGAACAGCAGAGGCCUUGGAGAGGUAUACUAUAAAUGAUUCAUUAUUUAGGGCCCAAUUGACUUUGCUAUAUGUAUUCAAGCUUAUUCCGUUAUUCUGGUAACCAUGAGAGACUAGGAAGUAUUAUUGCAGCAAGAGACUUCAAGUAUCGUCUCAAAACAUUUCUUUGAUUGGUUCUAAUUCUAUACAGUCAAACUCACAUAGGGUAGAGCAGUCUAAGUUGGAGCAGAAAAACGUAGUUUCUGCUGUUCAAAUAUUAAAUUAAGGACAAUGUACUGAACAAUACAGAACUAUUAAGAAUUGACAGUGAAGUCAGUUUUGGUGAAUUUGCCCUGUUCUAGUUUUCCAGGGUGCUGAUUUUCUUGUAGUGCCUGGGACCUCCAAAUGAAAGCACCUGGAAUAAAAAGUGAGAGACAAGUCUACUCAUAUCAGAAAAAGAGGGAUAACGCACUCCUUCCUUCCAUGUCAUGUACCUAUUUUUAAAAAACUGAAACCAUGACAAAAAUAUUACCACAAGUCUGUUCUAUAAUUGCAUCAUUAAAAUUUGGAAUAGACUCAAAAUGUUAUUUUGUGAUAAUGCAAUAAGAAAAUAUCAUGUGGCAACAUGAAUAAGGGUAAUUAGUUUGAUUAUUUGUUGGUCAUAGGGUACAGCUUCAAACUUUAACUUUUGUUGAUUCAUGUAUUCCUUUAAUUUAUAUAGUAAAAAUUAAUUAGCUCAACACAGCAUGUUGCAAAUGCGUGCGGUACCUCAGUCUGUCCACGAUGUGUUUAUUAGAAUUAUUUAACAGGCAUGUAUCCAAUACAUGUUAUAUCAUGUCCAGGAAACAGCAGUGUCUAACUCUUUGCCAACCUUACCAAUAUUGUGCCAAGUUGUGUGUUUGAAGUGGAAAUGUUUUACUAAAGAUUUAUUUACGUACACUACUAGAACUUGUUAUAUGUUGGUCAGGACAGAUUCUGAUGAAAUACAGAGGUAGCUGGCAUAUUAAAGUGCAGAAUAUAUAUUUGAUAUUAAACUUGUUGCACUUAUUGUGUAUGCAUACAUUCUUCUGUACACAUAUUUGAAAAUAAUUAUUUCAAUGUUUGUUAUUACUUAUUAAAAUUUAAUAUACAGGUAUUACCAGAGUUUUAUACACUUUUACCUGGCUUUAUCCUAUUUCUGUUUGAAACUCCACAAAUGUCUAUUUCCCUUUCUCUUUCCUAUUUUGCACAAAAAAAAGCAUGCUGUUAUGAACAUGAAC